AUUGAACGCUGGCGGCAGGCUUAACACAUGCAAGUCGAGCGGUAACAGAGAGAAGCUUGCUUCUCUGCUGACGAGCGGCGGACGGGUGAGUAAUGCCUAGGAAUCUGCCUAGUAGUGGGGGAUAACUUGCCGAAAGGUAAGCUAAUACCGCAUACGUCCUACGGGAGAAAGGAGGGGACCUUCGGGCCUUUCGCUAUUAGAUGAGCCUAGGUCGGAUUAGUUAGUUGGUGAGGUAAUGGCUCACCAAGACCGGGAUCCGGAACUGGGCUGAGAGGAUGAAUAGUUACAAUGGAACUUGGGACAGGGCCAGGACUCUAAGGGAAGGAAGAGUUGGGAAUAUUGGAACAUGGGGGGAACCCUGAUCCAGCCAUGCCGCGUGUGUGAAGAAGGUCUUAGGAUUGUAAAGCACUUUAAGUUGGGAGGAAGAGCAGUUAACUAAUAUUUGACUGUUUUGACGUUACCGACAGAAUAAGCACCGGCUAACUUCGUGCCAGCCGCCGCCAUAA
rnacentral:rRNA from 1 species